CCGCCCGUCACACCAUCCGAGUCGAGGGUACCCGAAGUCGCUAGUCUAACCCGCAAGGGAGGACGGUGCCGAAGGUACGCUCGGUAAGGAGGGUGAAGUCGUAACAAGGUAGCCGUACCGGAAGGUGCGGCUGGAUCACCUCCUUUCUAAGAGAAAGG
rnacentral:rRNA from 1 species